GCGCUCUCUCCUCGGAUUCUCCCUUCAGUGCGACGCGCGACCUAACGCUGGUAGGAUCGACGCCGCCCCUCGCCCUCGUGUGAAGCUUAAACGGGAUCCGUAAAACAGCCACCAGAAGCUCGUCUCAUCAGAGGAUUUGAUCGGAAGUCGUGGAAUUUACCGAGACGAUCAUCGGUUGACGAGGGAUCGGAGGAAAGAUCGAACUCGCUUGAGCGAUACUCCGGAAGAACCGAUCUUGUUGAUCUUUUCAAGACAGAAGAAAAGAGAGAAGAAGUACAUACACAGCGAAAGAAAGGGAGCACGAAAGAUUGAUGGAAGAAGGAGAGAUUCGACUUACGUGGCCGAGAAUUAUCAACUCCGCUGAACCGCGAUUCAGAGAAAAGUGAUCUUGUUAAGGGGUGAAGACGCGAUCGAGAGUCGAUUGCGCAUAAGGGGAGCUGAGAAAAGGAAGCUGAGAAAGCGCCAAAGGACUGUCGCAGAUUAUAUCGCAAGUGUAUUCACGAAAAAUGUGGAAAUACACGAAGCAAUUGUAGUAAGAGAAUUACGAAUUGAAUAGUUCGGAAGAGGGAGAGCUUGCGAGAGAGGAAAGCCUCGCCGAGCAUCGCGAGAAAGAAUUACCGGACGUGAAACGAAUAUUCCACUGCUAGAAUGUUGCCGUUGCCGAAGAUCGAAGAUACCAGGCAUUACAUCAGCGCGCUGUUGCCGCGAAUUAAAAAAUGCGCUCCCGUGCAGUGAAGGGAGCGUGGAUCAAAAGAGCGGAAGCAAGGGACGAGCAGAUAAUCGCGAAGCAAGCAUCACGCGAUCGAAGAGGAGCGGAUGGUAGCCAUUGGCGAACAUUCGAUCGACUUCUCGACAGGGAAGACCCAGAGGAUCGCGCCAAGUUAUUUCUCCGGCGAGCCUUGGAACGAGCCGAUCGAUCACUCGAAGGAUAACAGCCCUCCUACCUCGCGGACCCUUCCAGAUACGUGGAUGCCCUUGGCCUGAUUCGCGCUUGCACGCCAUUAACAGGCAACAGCUCUCACGAGCGAGCGAGCCGAUUUUUGAAGCCGAAGCGUAACGUUCCACGUGGCACGAAGAUGCCAUGGUAUUAAUCCGCGGUGUUAACGCAGGGUAUUCACUGUGUGCUCGAGAAAUUUAAUCGGAUCGAACCGCACGAGGGCGAGCUUUGCCUCGCAAAUCUUUCCCGAAUUUAAUCCAAUCCCGAACUCGCCUCGCGCGCGGGAACUCCAAUUAAAGUUUCGACCAGCCAACUCACCGUUGCCGUGCGUGCUACCGAUCCACGCGACCUGGGAUCACGCGAUACCGGCGCAACAUCGAGAAUACCGCUAAUCCGGAUUUUGCUCUCAAACUUUAACGCAACGUUGUGUCCCUCGUAGUUUGGUGUGUCUGAAAAUGGAGUAACAUCGACGCGUAAUAACUUCCGGCGCUGUUUAUACCAAGUAUACGUUUCUGAGUGUGGUAAGAUUAAUGAAGCAGAUUGAUGGAGCCGUAAGGGCUCGAGCACCAAACGUAAUUCCUGAUAACGACCUCGAGCUCUUGAACCCUCGACGAAUGAGACGCAGUAACUUUGUAACAGUUUGUCAUUCCGAACGCGACCGUUCCAACCGUUACCUCCCAAGCGACGAUGAGAUUCUCUAAGUAUCGAGAUUAAUCAAAAGUAAUCAGUAUCACGAAAAAAAUUCUUCGAGAUCAAGUCAGAACAAUUACAACGUAGAGACUCUUUAGCAUCUUGAUCAUUUUUUUAAGACCACGAGCAAGCCAGAGGUGAAUACGUCGAAGGAGACUCCUCGAAGUUGAAGGAGCGAAGCAUUGCUGCAGAACGCGGUAACACGUGGCGCGUAAAUGUUCACCGGAAGCUCAAUACGAACAGGAACGCGAGAAGUUUAAGAAGUUCGCUCGCUGACAAUCUUAUAUCGAUAAGACGGAUCGAUCUGCCGAUCGCGAUACUCGCGCGACCACCUGUCACAUACGCUUAAUGUAGCCUUCCAUUGGAGGCGCGGGACGUGACAUCUCAUAGAAACGGCCAUGAAAGGAAUACGUGCCGAAGGUAGUGGCGAAUAGUCGACCGUAAUCUCCGAAACGUGAACUUGGACGAAGCGAGAAAGAUGAGAAGCACUUCCGCGAAAUGUUUGCCCAACGAAAAAAUACGCUUUGAAAAUCCCUAGCCACUACCCUUCGUCGCCAGAGAGGAACUAUAUUAUUACUCGUCGAAGUCUGAGGGGUGAGAUUUAUCUUUCUUAGGGCAAGACUGCUAUCGCAUGUGCAUAACGGUCCUAUAAAAAUCGUUCACAGAUUUUAUGCGCGAAGCAUCGAAGGAGGAAUGUAUUCGGAAGCUUGAGAAACUCACGUUCUCAUGCUGUCGAUUACCGUAUUUUAGCAGAGAGAACAGAACUCACUCGACCGAGUUUGUUGUUUAACAGUUGUACAUAGUACGAAUAGUAGAUAGAAUCUGCGAAUGAGAGUCUGAAAUAGGAAGUCCUGGAGAUCUGCGAGUGCGGAGCAUACAGCGUUUCCGAUAUCUGCACUAGGCGGAAAUAUCGUAUCUUCAAGAUCAGUAGGACGCUCGAGUACCGUGAGGCAAGAAGUCAGAGAGUCUUCACGGAGCGUAGCAUUAUACCACAAUCAGCUUAAUCGUCACAGACUGCCAGGAAAAACGAAACGCUCGCACGCGUGAUCGCGGAACUUCUCGCGACUCGAAAAAAAA